CGUUUGUUUAUGUGGUUUGUAAGUGUUUCUCGUUUCUUGUUGGUUUUCCCGUUUGAAUGGUUUUACACUAGUAACUGUUUGGGGUCGUUUAUAGCUUGCUGUUCGGUGUGAUCCAUUGCUCCAUGUUGAAGACCGUACCUGGACCUAUAAUGGUUUACUUUUAUAAAUUGUGACUUGGAGAGUUGUCUCAUUGGAACUCAUACCACAUCUUCCUAUAUCUACUAACACUGUUGUUGUUUCUGUAGGCAGAUUCAGUUUCGGACACAUCAGAUUUGUUUUUUUUUAUUUUAAAUUCU
rnacentral:lncRNA from 1 species